GGUGCUGGGAGUAGGGCGCAAGAUGUCGGCGGAUGCAGCUCCGAGGAGGUAGGCAGUGGGAGCCGGCGUUCAGUCCGGCCCGUGCCAACAGUGGUUCCUCUCUCCCCCGUAGUUCGAGGAGACCACGCGCUGCCCCUCUGGCACGAUCGUGGAUGAACCCCCUGGCAACUGAAAUGGGAAAGGCAGCGCCCCCGACUCUGGGGACUGGACCGAAGUCCACGGUAGUGACAGCUGCCAGACCCUGAGGAGAGGACGAGAAGACCCGAGGCCUCUGCUACGAACACUGGCAGCCGAUGGAAAAUUCAGACGGAUUUGGGACAGUAUGCAGAGUUCUCCAAGCGACAGAUUAACAGAGGCUCUUGAAGAAUAACUGCGUAAUCACGUGUUCUGCUCAAAAGAAGGCCUGAAUGCCCAGUGCCUUAUUUGGCUUUCAGGACAGGGUCUUGCGGUGUCACCCAGGCUAGAGUACAGUGGUGCAAUCAUAGCUCACUGCUGCCUCAAACUCCUAGACUCAAGCAAUCCUCCUGCUUCAGCCUCCCGAGUAGCUGGGACUACAGGUAGAUGAUGGGCUCCACGGGAACAGAGCAAACGUUCGCUCCUGCUCCUACACGGUGUUUCCUCUAAACCUGAGGCUCAGCCGACUUGUCAUCACUUAAAACCCAAUUCAGAGCGGGGGGGCACUGCCAGUGAAUAGUUCAUCACCGACUCAGUUUCCCCAUGUGUAUGCUGUGGUAUUGGAUCAGCAACGAGAUAAGAAGAUCUCUCCCAUUUCCAAGCGUCUAUGAUGAUUCUGAGGCACAAGGUCACAUUUGACAGUACUAGGAAACCCAGGAAACAAGAAGCAAAGAUGACAAAGGCUGUGUCUGCCUGGGCAGACGAUCUAUUUGGACAAGAUAAUAGACCCAGGCAUGGACAUGCUCUCCAAGAAAGAUGCCCUGACAGCUGCUCACACUGAAGCUGAAUCGAACAUUCCAAUCCUUAGAGGUUCCAGCGAAGAUCUUGAAGUCUCCCUGAGCCAUUGACACAAUGGCCAUGCCAUCCCAGUGAUAAAACACAAAUUGUGGCCUUGUUUUGGACAGAAAUAAAGAGCCCAGUUUGUUAGUGAUUUACUGAUAA
rnacentral:lncRNA from 1 species